GACGAACGCUGGCGGCGUGCUUAACACAUGCAAGUCGAACGGAAAGGCCCUGCUUGCAGGGUACUCGAGUGGCGAACGGGUGAGUAACACGUGGGUGAUCUGCUCUGCACUUCGGGAUAAGCCUGGGAAACUGGGUCUAUUCCCGGAUAGGAGCCAUUUUUAGUGUGAUGGUUGGUAAGUUUUUUCGGUGUAGGAUGAGCUCGCGGCCUAUCAGCUUGUUGGUGGGGUAAUGGCCUACCAAGGCGGCGACGGGUAGCCGGCCUGAGAGGGUGGACGGCCACAUUGGGACUGAGGUACGGCCCAGACUCCUACGAGAGGCAGCAGUGGGGAAUAUUGCACAAUGGGCGCAGGCCUGAUGCAGCGACGCCGCGUGUGGGAUGACGGCCUUCGGGUUGUAAACGCCUUUCGCUAGGGACGAAGCUUUUUGUGACGGUACCUAGAUAAGAAGCACCGGCUAACUACGUG
rnacentral:rRNA from 1 species